GAGGGAAUAGCUCAGCGUAGAGCGCAUGCUUAGCACACACGAGGUCCUGGGUUCAAUCCCCAGUCCCUCCA
rnacentral:tRNA from 1 species